rnacentral:sRNA from 1 species
AAAGAGAAAGUCACACAGGUGCUGUUUGAGACUUUCAACAUACCUGCCCUGUAUUUAGCUAACCAAGGAGUCCUUUCUCUGUACGCCUCUGGCCAGACCUCCGGCAUGACUGUUGAAUCUGGAGAAGGAAUGACACACUUUGUGCCCAUCGCUGAUGGCUGUCCUUUGCAUCAGUCAACCUUCCAGGUGGACAUAGCGGGCCAGGACCUAACCUUGUACCUCCUGCAACUGUUGAAAGACAAUGGGCAAUUACUGGUGGGCACAGGGGAUCGAGAGUACAUCCGGGACAUGAAGGAGAAAUGCUGCUAUGUGGCUUUGGACUUUGACAAGGAAAAGACGAAAACUGAUUCACCUUCCCACCAACGGA